AUGGAGUGGGUUGUGAGACAAGCCGCCGUUGCUAAGCCUGCAGAACCGGCUCCAACUAUCACCACCGUCGUCGCCUCCAUGGAUGGAUGACAGAACUCAUAACUCAGACCAUGACAACGAGAUAAAGGGCUCGGCUUACUGCAGUAAGGAGUCUAUUCAUGGACCGACUUGUUUAAGAGGUGGCGUAGAUGACUGAGAAAAAAUGGAUUCCAUUUGGGUGGCACGAAGAGUCCCCGAUGAACAGGAGGGAUGUCUCUAUGUGAACUAAGACAUCGUAGGUCACCACAUGAGUGGACUUAAUUGUCAAUGUCAAUGUGAGAUUAAAUAGUAUUUUUUGUGA